GUCCUCUCAGGGUCACACCUGGAGAGUUUCCAAUACUCUACCAGUCUCAACUAUGGAAGGGAGAGUCAAGAAGAGGCAUAGCCAUUCCAUUCCUAGCUUGGGCAGUGGAUAGUUAGUGGAAGACAAUCUUCUACAAGU